rnacentral:rRNA from 1 species
GACGAACGCUGGCGGCGUGCUUAACACAUGCAAGUCGAACGGAAAGGCCCUGCUUUUAUGGUGGGCUCGUGUCGCGCGCGUGUGUGUUACACGUGUGACCUCCCUUCUUCUCUUUGUUAAGCCUUCAGAACUCUGUGUCUUAUCCCAGAUAAUCGAUCCUUCUGCAUGGUGGUGGUUGGAAGCUUUCGGGGGUGGUGGAUGGUCUCCCGGCUUCCCAGCUUGUUGGUGGGGUAGUGACUUACCAAGGCUUCGACGGGUAGCCGGCCUGAGAGGGUGACCGGCCACACUGGGACUGAGAGACGGCCCAGACUCCUACGGGAGGCAGCAGUGGGGAAUAUUGCACAAUGGGCGGAAGCCUGAUGCAGCAACGCCGCGUGAGGGAUGACGGCCUUCGGGUUGUAAACCGCUGUCAGCAGUGAAGAAGCGAAAGUGACGGUAAGGGCUAAAGAAGCACCGGCUAACUACGUG